rnacentral:rRNA from 1 species
UACAGAGGGCUCAAGCGUUGUUCGGAUUCAUUGGGCGUAAAGUGUGCGCAGGCGGCAAAGCAAGUCGGGUGUGAAAGCCCCGGGCUUAACUUGGGAAUUGCGCUCGAAACUACUUUGCUGGAGUGUGGCAGAGGAAGGUGGAAUUCCACGUGUAGCGGUGAAAUGCGUAGAGAUGUGGAGGAACACCAAUGGCGAAGGCAGCCUUCUGGGCCAACACUGACGCUCAUGCACGAAAGCGUGGGGAGCAAACAGG